ACGAAGUGCGGAAGUGACGACAGCGCUCUGCGGGUGAUUUCAGCUGAAUUCGUGCUUUCUCGGCGACGCAUCGUGGUGGACGAACACAAACACGGCAGACACGGACGGUGUUCAACUAGCAACCCAGGUUUAUUUGACACAAAUCCUCCCUACCGGUACCCGGGGGCGUGUUUCUCGACAAAGUGCUCCACGGCGCAGCGGGUAGAUCUGAAAUGACCAGUGUGUAGCCAGUGUAACCGUCCGUUACGCGAGACUUGGAAAUAGACCACCUCACGGGAGAUUGGCAUCCACUGUGCUGCUGCAACCGGGUCAACAUGACACAUGGCCACAGGACGAACGACCGAGGAAAAACAACGAGAAUGCGCACGCGUUGACAUUACUUCGGUUGUUGCAUCUCAUGUCUCAUUCUAAUAGAGAAUCACAGGGGAACGCAACAAAGCUGUUGUUUAGAGCUUG